UGGGGAAUUUUGGACAAUGGGCGAAAGCCUGAUCCAGCAAUGCCGCGUGUGUGAAGAAGGCCUUCGGGUUGUAAAGCACUUUUGUCCGGAAAGAAAUCCUUGGCUCUAAUACAGUCGGGGGAUGACGGUACCGGAAGAAUAAGCACCGGCUAACUACGUGCCAGCAGCCGCGGUAAUACGUAGGGUGCAAGCGUUAAUCGGAAUUACUGGGCGUAAAGCGUGCGCAGGCGGUUUGCUAAGACCGAUGUGAAAUCCCCGGGCUCAACCUGGGAACUGCAUUGGUGACUGGCAGGCUAGAGUAUGGCAGAGGGGGGUAGAAUUCCACGUGUAGCAGUGAAAUGCGUAGAGAUGUGGAGGAAUACCGAUGGCGAAGGCAGCCCCCUGGGCCAAAUACUGACGCUCAUGCACGAAAAGCGUGGGGAGCAAAACAGGAUUAGAUACCCUGGUAGUCCACGCCCUAAAACGAUGU
rnacentral:rRNA from 1 species